UACGUAGGAUGCAAGCGUUGUCCGGAAUUAUUGGGCGUAAGGAGCUCGUAGGCGGUCUGUCGCGUCUGCUGUGAAAACUCAGGGCUUAACCCUGAGCUUGCAGUGGGUACGGGCAGACUAGAGUGCGGUAGGGGAGACUGGAAUUCCUGGUGUAGCGGUGAAAUGCGCAGAUAUCAGGAGGAACACCGGUGGCGAAGGCGGGUCUCUGGGCCGUAACUGACGCUGAGGAGCGAAAGCAUGGGGAGCGAACAGG
rnacentral:rRNA from 1 species